AAUAUCAAAGGUGAGCCAGUACAGGAUGGACCCGCGUCUGAUUAGCUAGUUGGUAAGGUAACGGCUUACCAAGGCGACGAUCAGUAGCCGACCUGAGAGGGUGAUCGGCCACAUUGGAACUGAGACACGGUCCAAACUCCUACGGGAGGCAGCAGUGGGGAAUAUUGCACAAUGGGCGAAAGCCUGAUGCAGCAACGCCGCGGGAGUGAUGAAGGCCUUCGGGUCGUAAAACUCUGUCCUCAAGGAAGAUAAUGACGGUACUUGAGGAGGAAGCCCCGGCUAACUACGUGCCAGCAGCCGCGGUAAUACGUAGGGGGCUAGCGUUAUCCGGAUUUACU
rnacentral:rRNA from 1 species